UUAUAAGAUGAAUGUUUUGAUAUUGUAGACUUUGAAAGAGAAAAGCAAGGAUGCCCCGGGAGAACCUUCGGAAUUUGUGGGUAUAUUGCCACUGUUUGAUCCUCCAAGGCAUGAUAGUGCAGAGACAAUUCGUCGGGCUCUGAAUCUUGGUGUCAAUGUCAAGAUGAUCACUGGUGAUCAACUAGCCAUCGGAAAAGAAACCGGUCGCAGGCACGGCAUGGGAACCAACAUGUAUCCAUCAUCUGCUAUCCUUGGUCAAAAUAAGGGCGACACGAUCAAUACAAUUGGCGCUGAUGACCUUAUUGAGAAGGCUGAUGGCUUUGCAGGCGUUUUCCCUGAGCACAAAUAUGAGAUUGUUAAGAGGCUACAAGCAAGGAAACAUAUUUGCGGCAUGACCGGAGAUGGUGUGAAUGAUGCACCAGCGCUUAAGAAGGCAGACAUCGGCUUUGCAGUGGACGAUGCGACUGAUGCUGCUCGAAGUGCAUCAAAUAUAGUACUACAGAACCAGGACUGAGUGUCAUUGUGAGUGCUGUUCUAACAAGUAGAGCCAUUUUUCAGAGAAUGAAAGACUAUACCAUCUAUGCUGUCUCCAUUACGACCAGAAUCGUGUUAGGUUUCAUGCUGCUCGCACUUAUUUGGAAGUUCAAUUUCUCUCCUUUCAUGGUUGCCUGACUCAUGGAAGCUCAAGGAGAUUUUUGCCACCGGCAUGUCCUUGGUACCUAUCUUGCUGUCAUGACUGUCAUUUUCUUCUGGGCUGCCAACGAUACCAACUUCUUUUCAGAUAAGUUUGGGGUAAGAACCAUUAGGCACAAUCAAGAUGAACUUACUGCUGCUGUAUACCUUCAAGUCAGUACAGUGAGUCAAGCACUCAUUUUUCUCACUCGUUCUCGGAGUUGGUCUUUCAUUGAACGUCCAGGUCUCCUGCUCGUGGUUGCCUUCGUUUUGGCACAACUCGUAGAUACACUACUUGCUGUUUACGCAAACUAGGGAUUUGCAAGAAUCAAAGGCAUUGGCUGGGGUUGGGCUGGCGUUUUAUGGCUCUACAGUCUAGUCUUCUACUUCCCACUCGAUGUACUCAAGUUCGGAAUUCGCUAUUUUGGAAAGGCUUGGAACAAUUUGGAACAUUUUGCUUGAAAAUAAGACUGCCUUCACAACAAAGAAUGAUUAUGGAAAAGGAGAGAGGGAAGCACAGUGGGCUUUAGCUCAACGCACCCUUCAUGGCUCGACACCGCCCGACAUCACAAACAAGGAGAACAACCACAAAGAACUAUCAGAGAUUGCAGAACAAGCCAGAAAGCGUGCCGAAGUUGCAAGGUGAUACAUAAAAUCCUUUGACAUCAGAAACCAAUGAUCUUAUCCAAAACCUCGUGUGUCUUACCAAGUUGAGGGAACUUCAUACACUCAAAGGACAUGUCGAAUCCGAAGUUAAGCUCAAAGGACUGGAUAUCGACACCAUCCGACAGCACUACACGGUUUGAGGAGGGAAAGAGGUGGAACUAGGGGGGUUCUUGUAAUGCCAUGAGAUGAGGGUUGCGAAAUCAGGCAGCCAUCCUAUUAUGAUAUUGUUUUGUAGUAGGUUUAAGGCAUGGUACUGGAAUAAUGUUUUGAAUAAUCCAACAUCAGAGAUUGUUGUAUAGCUAACUCAGACAAUCCUUGACUGCUAAUAUGGCAACAUUUUUGUUACAUGGUUCGGUUUUUUCUCUUCAAAAUC